UGAAAGGCCAUAGCUCAGUGGUAGAGCAUCUGCCUUGCAAGCAGAAGGUCCCAGGUUCAAUUCCUGGCGUUUCCA